AGUGAACGCUGGCGGUAGGCCUAACACAUGCAAGUCGAACGGCAGCACAGUAAGAGCUUGCUCUUACGGGUGGCGAGUGGCGGACGGGUGAGGAAUACAUCGGAAUCUACUUUUUCGUGGGGGAUAACGUAGGGAAACUUACGCUAAUACCGCAUACGACCUACGGGUGAAAGCAGGGGAUCUUCGGACCUUGCGCGAUUGAAUGAGCCGAUGUCGGAUUAGCUAGUUGGCGGGGUAAAGGCCCACCAAGGCGACGAUCCGUAGCUGGUCUGAGAGGAUGAUCGGCCACACGGGAGCUGAGACAGGGUCCAGACUCCUACGGGAGGCAGCAGUGGGGAAUAUUGGACAAUGGGCGCGAGCCUGAUCCAGCCAUACCGCGUGGGUGAAGAAGGCCUUCGGGUUGUAAAGCCCUUUUGUUGGGAAAGAAAAGCAGCAGGUUAAUACCCCGCGGUUCUGACGGUACCCAAAGAAUAAGCACCGGCUAACUUCGUG
rnacentral:rRNA from 1 species